AUGCUCGUGGAGCGGCCGAUAUCUGAUUAGCUAGUUGGUGGGGUAAAAGCCUACCAAGGCAUCGAUCAGUAGCUGGUCUGAGAGGACGACCAGCCACACUGGGACUGAGACACGGCCCAG
rnacentral:rRNA from 1 species